rnacentral:rRNA from 1 species
UACGUAGGGGGCGCGCGUUGUCCGGAUUUAUUGGGCGUAAAAGGCUUGUAGGUGGCCACGUCAAGGCGGAUGUGAAAUCUCCCGGCUCAACUGGGAGGGGUCAUUCGAUACUGGCGGGCUCGAGGCCGGUAGGGGGAAGCGGAAUUCCCGGUGUAGUGGUGGAAUGCGUAGAUAUCGGGAGGAACACCAGUGGCGAAGGCGGCUUCCUGGACCGGUUCUGACACUGAGGAGCGAAAGCGUGGGGAGCGAUCCGG